GACGUAGGGGCGAGCGUUGUCCGGAUUUAUUGGGCGUAAAGCGCGCGCAGGCGGCCCGGAAAGUCGGAUGUGAAACCUGGGGCUCAACCCCAGGCCUGCAUCCGAAACUUCCGGGCUAGAGGCAGGUAGGGGAGAUCGGAAUUCCUGGUGUAGCGGUGAAAUGCGCAGAUAUCAGGAGGAACACCGGUGGCGAAGGCGGAUCUCUGGGCCUGUCCUGACGCUCAGGCGCGAAAGCCAGGGGAGCGAACGGGAUUAGAUACCCGGGUAGU
rnacentral:rRNA from 1 species